rnacentral:piRNA from 1 species
UCCUUGGGUAUGGAACAAGGACGCUGAACUC